GCCUUUAGCAACACAAGUAUUAAAGGUCCUGCCUGCCCAGUGAAAGAUUUUAACGGCCGCGGUAUUCUAACCGUGCAAAGGUAGCGUAAUCACUUGUCUUCUAAAUAAAGACCAGUAUGAACGGCUAAAUGAGGGUAAACCUGUCUCCUGCAACCAAUCAGUGAAACUGAUCUCCCCGUCCAAAAGCUGGGAUGUAAACAUAAGACGAGAAGACCCUGUGGAGCUUAAAAUCUUACACUACCAGACACCAUUGUCUAACUAGCAAAAAUUUUAAGUUGGGGCGACUUCGGAACAAAACAAAACUUCCAAGCACAGAACCAAACAUUCUAACCGAGGCAAACAAGCCGAAGCAAAGAUUGACCCAGUCACACUGAUCAACGAACCAAGUUACCCCAGGGAUAACAGCGCCAUCUUCUUCAAGAGUCCAUAUCGACAAGAAGGUUUACGACCUCGAUGUUGGAUCAGGGCACCCCAAUGGUGCACCCGCUAUUAAAGGUUCGUUUGUUCAACGAUUA
rnacentral:rRNA from 1 species